rnacentral:rRNA from 1 species
CAGUCGCCACGGUAAUACGUAGGGUGCAAGCGUUAAUCGGAAUUACUGGGCGUAAAGCGUGCGCAGGCGGUUAUAUAAGACAGAUGUGAAAUCCCCGGGCUCAACCUGGGAACUGCAUUUGUGACUGUAUAGCUAGAGUACGGCAGAGGGGGAUGGAAUUCCGCGUGUAGCAGUGAAAUGCGUAGAUAUGCGGAGGAACACCGAUGGCGAAGGCAAUCCCCUGGGCCUGUACUGACGCUCAUGCACGAAAGCGUGGGGAGCAAACAGGAUUAGAGACCCGAGUAGUCCCUGUCUCUUAUAA